UACAGAGGUGGCAAGCGUUGUUCGGAAUUACUGGGCGUAAAGGGCGUGUAGGCGGCCUUCUAAGUCAGACGUGAAAUCCCCCGGCUUAACCUGGGAACUGCGUCUGAUACUGGGAGGCUUGAGUAUGGGAGAGGGAUGUAGAAUUCCAGGUGUAGCGGUGAAAUGCGUAGAUAUCUGGAGGAAUACCGGUGGCGAAGGCGGCAUCCUGGACCAUUACUGACGCUGAGGCGCGAAAGCUAGGGGAGCAAACGGG
rnacentral:rRNA from 1 species